rnacentral:misc_RNA from 1 species
AAGUCGUAACAAGGUUUCCGUAGGUGAACCUGCGGAAGGAUCAUUAUUGAAUAAACCUGAUGUGGUUGUAGCUGGCCCUUUCGAGGGUAUGUGCACACCCGUCAUCUUUAUCUUUCCCACUUGUGCACCUUUUGUAGACCUGGAUGUAACACUUUUCCCGGGCAACUCGGUCGGGAGGAAUGCUGUCAGCUUUCCUUGAAUGUCCAGGCCUAUGUUUCUACAUAACCCUAAGCCAAAUGAUGAACAGAAUGUAUUAUUGGGCCUUGUGCCUAUAAACUAUAUACAA